rnacentral:misc_RNA from 1 species
UGGAAGUAAAAGUCGUAACAAGGUUUCCGUAGGUGAACCUGCGGAAGGAUCAUUAGAGCGAAGAGCGAGCGAUCGCAGCGAGCGCAGCGAGGGAGCAAGCAAGUAAAAACUUGCAAGCAACCUUGCCAGCUCCGCCAUACACGUGAGUAAUUACAAACAGUACCUGUCAACAUACGAAAUCAAAACUUUCAACAACGGAUCUCUUGGUUCUCGCAUCGAUGAAGAGCGCAGCGAAUUGCGAUAACUAAUGUGAAUUGCAGAUUUUGUGAAUCAUCGAGUUCUUGAACGCACAUUGCGCCUUUUGGUAUUCCGAAAGGCAUGCCUGUUUGAGCGUGACAACGCCUCCAUUGGCCUCCAAUGGUAUUGUGGAUACAUAGUAUCCACCAAAAAGAAAGUACGAAGAAUUAAGGUUUCGGCCAGGCUUUGUUAUUUUUUUAAUUGCCACCUCAAAUCAGGUAGGAGGACCCGCUGAACUUAAGCAUAUCAAUAAGCGGAGG